rnacentral:rRNA from 1 species
AGAGUUUGAUCAUGGCUCAGAUUGAACGCUGGCGGCAGGCCUAACACAUGCAAGUCGAACGGUAACAGGAAACAGCUUGCUGUUUCGCUGACGAGUGGCGGACGGGUGAGUAAUGUCUGGGAAACUGCCUGAUGGAGGGGGAUAACUACUGGAAACGGUAGCUGAUACCGCAUAACGUCGCAAGACCAAAGAGGGGGACCUUCGGGCCUCUUGCCAUCAGAUGUGCCCAGAUGGGAUUAGCUAGUAGGUGGGGUAACGGCUCACCUAGGCGACGAUCCCUAGCUGGUCUGAGAGGAUGACCAGCCACACUGGAACUGAGACACGGUCCAGACUCCUACGGGAGGCAGCAGUGGGGAAUAUUGCACAAUGGGCGCAAGCCUGAUGCAGCCAUGCCGCGUGUAUGAAGAAGGCCUUCGGGUUGUAAAGUACUUUCAGCGGGGAGGAAGGGAGUAAAGUUAAUACCUUUGCUCAUUGACGUUACCCGCAGAAGAAGCACCGGCUAACUCCGUGCCAGCAGCCGCGGUAAUACGGAGGGUGCAAGCGUUAAUCGGAAUUACUGGGCGUAAAGCGCACGCAGGCGGUUUGUUAAGUCAGAUGUGAAAUCCCCGGGCUCAACCUGGGAACUGCAUCUGAUACUGGCAAGCUUGAGUCUCGUAGAGGGGGGUAGAAUUCCAGGUGUAGCGGUGAAAUGCGUAGAGAUCUGGAGGAAUACCGGUGGCGAAGGCGGCCCCCUGGACGAAGACUGACGCUCAGGUGCGAAAGCGUGGGGAGCAAACAGGAUUAGAUACCCUGGUAGUCCACGCCGUAAACGAUGUCGACUUGGAGGUUGUGCCCUUGAGGCGUGGCUUCCGGAGCUAACGCGUUAAGUCGACCGCCUGGGGAGUACGGCCGCAAGGUUAAAACUCAAAUGAAUUGACGGGGGCCCGCACAAGCGGUGGAGCAUGUGGUUUAAUUCGAUGCAACGCGAAGAACCUUACCUGGUCUUGACAUCCACGGAAGUUUUCAGAGAUGAGAAUGUGCCUUCGGGAACCGUGAGACAGGUGCUGCAUGGCUGUCGUCAGCUCGUGUUGUGAAAUGUUGGGUUAAGUCCCGCAACGAGCGCAACCCUUAUCCUUUGUUGCCAGCGGUCCGGCCGGGAACUCAAAGGAGACUGCCAGUGAUAAACUGGAGGAAGGUGGGGAUAACGUCAAGUCAUCAUGGCCCUUACGACCAGGGCUACACACGUGCUACAAUGGCGCAUACAAAGAGAAGCGACCUCGCGAGAGCAAGCGGACCUCAUAAAGUGCGUCGUAGUCCGGAUUGGAGUCUGCAACUCGACUCCAUGAAGUCGGAAUCGCUAGUAAUCGUGGAUCAGAAUGCCACGGUGAAUACGUUCCCGGGCCUUGUACACACCGCCCGUCACACCAUGGGAGUGGGUUGCAAAAGAAGUAGGUAGCUUAACCUUCGGGAGGGCGCUUACCACUUUGUGAUUCAUGACUGGGGUGAAGUCGGAACAAGGUAACCGUAGGGGAACCUGCGGUUG